rnacentral:rRNA from 1 species
UACGAGGGGGGCGAGCGUUGUUCGGAAUUAUUGGGCGUAAAGGGUGCGUAGGCGGUUUGGUAAGUCUUGUGUGAAAUCUACAGGCUCAACUUGUAGUCUGCACGAGAAACUGCCGGGCUUGAGUGUGGGAGAGGUGAGUGGAAUUUCUGGUGUAGCGGUGAAAUGCGUAGAGAUCGGGAGGAACACCAGAGGCGAAGGCGGCGACCUGGAUAGGUACUGACGCUCAACUACGAAAGCGUGGGGAGCAAACAGG